rnacentral:tRNA from 1 species
GGAGAGAUGGCUCAGCAGUUAAGAGUACUGUAUGCUCUUCCAGAGGACCUGGGUUCAAUUCCCAGCUCCC